UUGUUUUUGGGUUUAAAAAAAAGAGAACGUGGGCCCUUGCAUACCCUUCUGCUGAUAGCUGGCCGGCUGCUCAUCUGUAAAUUUUACAGAGCCGUUGCCGCCUCUCUCUCCCUGGCUUCUCGGCAGUCCGCAUCCAUCCGCCGCCGCUCUCUCCUCUGCUCGCCCUCGCUCGGCGCAUCCUCCUCCCCAAGCCCAGCGCGAGCACCAGCUCCUCCAGGACAGCCGCAUCCUCCGGCGCAUCUCCUCCGCGACGGAUGCUGCAGCAAUUUCAUCUCCUCGUCCUCCGCGACUGUACCGGCGAGCUUUCUCAUCCUCCACGCCAGCAAGCUUCUCCUGUUCCUCUCCCUUCCUCUGACCUCGAUGCUUCUCCUAUCGAUUCAUCCUUUUGGUCGGUUCUUUUUCUUGCAGAUCUACGUUCUCUGGUCCGUUGUUGGAAGCGACGGAUUCUCACCAAGCGAGCCGGCACGCUUUGCCCACCGGAUUCGACACUCGCCGCCGCUGCAACUCCUCCCUCGUCGCUCCGCCGCAUCCGCCUCCUGCCGCGACCGCGAGGAUGGAUGUCCGCUGUGAUUUGUGCAGGCGCAAUUUCUCCGACGUAGUUCAAAAUUUUCAGGCUCAUUUGCUCGAUAAAAAGACCGGGCGCGCACAGGAAGCGGCUGCAAAUGGAUGCGCUGAAUGUGAGCAUCGUCUGGGCUGCAUGCCGCCAUCAUCACCAACCGCCGGACCAUCAACACGGACAUCAACAAGGCGGCAGUCAACAGGUCAAAGCUCCAGGGCAUCAACAAGGUCGCCACGUCAACGGGCCUAUCAAAUGUCGGAAGAUAACGAGCCAUUAACAAUAUCUUCCAUCGACACAAAUUUCACUUGGUCUAGACAUGACAUGGAUACGCUUAUUGACCUCUUUUCCUGUUUUAAGAUUCAAAAUGGUAGGCUGCCAACCGCGAGUGAGAGGAGAAGUAUCAUUAGUAAUGCUGCUUUUUAAGAUCCAAGAUGUUAUGAAGCUGAGAGAGUUUCAAACAAAGUGAAGGCAUUAAAAAGAAAAUGCAAAGAACUGCACCAGAGAAGAAGACGCCUUUCUCCCUCUCAAUCUCGUCUCUAUGAACGUCUGAACAAAAUCUGGCCAGCCUAAAAACGAGGAGGAAAGUUGACGAGUUUUUAUUCCUUUUGCUCCCUUCCUUUUGGCUUCAUAUAAGGUCUUUAACACCAGAGGUGUUACAUCCUGUUGACACCGUUUUUCAACACGUGUCAAGGCCGGCGUCAAUAGGGGAAGAAGGCUAAUUCUGUUGAGGUGUGUUGCCGAUUUUGGUGAAGGAAAGCCUUAUCCGGAUAGCGUCGUGGUCCAAGAAGAUUCUGUGGAUCGGUGGAAGCCGAGUUGGUUAGGGAUGUGUUUAUAGAGUCUGGUUUUUGUUUAGAUUAUGUUUAGAGAUACUUGAUUCCUUAGUUAUCAAAAUUUAUGAUCGUGUUGGGUUAGGAGUCUGAUGUAAACUAUAAAUAAUAGCCCUGCGAGGCCUAGAGAGGGUGCACACGCCAUAAUACAACAAGCUUUUACUACUUUUUGCAUCUACUGUUUUCUUCGGCGACUUCGAUCUUGUCAAGGACGGGUCUCACAUUCGAGCGACUUGGCUCGUGGUCAGAUUGACUGGCACGCCUUGGUUUGAAGGUUGACGGUCUGAGCUUGGUCAACGAGCCCCUCAGGCCUGCGUAUUGGUUUUCUGCGUCAAUAUGCUUUUGGC